CUUGGCUGAGCUCGUGUGUCAAUGCACAGCAUGCACAAAGAGGCUGCGUUUCCUGCUGGAGGCCUUUCCUCAGCUCCACAGCAGUGCUGCAGAGCCACCGGUGGCAGGAUUUCCCUACUACACAGGAGGGGCUGUACCAGAAGUGCCGUUGUAGUCUCCUAUUCGGAGCUUGUAGAGGCUCCGGGAGUCGCCGAUGGAGAACUUGUCAUAGUAGGCGUACGCUGCGUCCUGACCAUCCCUCAUGUCUAUUCGCAGCUCGUAGCGCCCCUGGGACGUGAUCUUGUGUAUGUUGUCCAGGCCUGGAGAGACAAGCAGUGAGAUGUUGCUGAGGUGUGGCACCUGGGUCUGCUCUGAGAGCAAACAAAAAAGCUCCGGGCAAAUAAACUGCUUCUGGGAGAUGAGAGUAAGGAGAGCAGCCAGAGAGCGACUUCUGGCUGAGCCUUUCUCUCUUGAGGCACUGGUGGGGGCUGAGCUCUGUCCCCACUCAAGCUUCAGGUCCCCACGGCUAUGAGAGGUGGGCUCAAGUCUCAGCUUCAGCUCUCUGCAUGCUGCUGAAGUUGGGGGGAGCCCUGCUGCUGCUGUUGUUGCCCACCCACCUUGGGCUUUGGCUGAGGCAUGAGCCAGAGCGUGGCUAUGCUGCAGGGCCAGCUUGUGCUCAGAUUGUGGGGGAGACUGCUCCAUUUCAGAGCUAUGCCAGGUCUCCCAUUCCCCCCUUUCCUACUUUGAGUAACUCACUGGCUAAGGCCAGGAGAGGUCCUUGAGAUGUUGUCCUCCAUCACAACCUCUCAACAAGGGAAAAUGCUGGCCCAUGAAAAACCCCAUCAUGACGCCUCCUCAGCUCCCACGCGGAGCACCCUGGGCACCUUCACAGCGUGCUUUUUGGUCCCGUACCCAUGUGUGCCUUCCCAACACAGCAUCAGGGAACAAACAAGGGAAGGAAAAUGGUCUGGGGGGGAGUGCAGGGGAGCGGUGAGAAGAGCCAGCCAGGGCCAGGGCAGAAAUCGUGCCAACACAGUGAGCUGGCACCUCGGUGAAAGUCUUACCCAGCCAAAACUCGUCCUCCAGGUUGCCGAAGCCGACACGGUAAUCUGCCCAUUUCCGGAAGAAAUCAGUCAGCCCAUUCUGCCGCCUCUGGAAAACCUGCAGCGGGAGAAAGCCGGGGGAAAGCCUGGUGAGAAGUGGGAUGAGCUAGCUGGGCUUUGGGACACACACAGCCCGGAGAGUGCUCUGCCCUUUCACAGUGCCUUUCAGGAGGGAAAACUGCAACCCCCAGCUGGGGACUGUUAAUUGCAGCCAUGCAGUCGAUUCAAGUGCAGACGGGUAAGCUGAAGACAAGCUAGAAGAUGUGGACAUUAAUGCUAUAAUGGACCUAGGAGGGAAGAUUCAGCUUCAAACUCCCUGCUCUACCCAGGGCACAGUGGCUUUCUAGCACAUGAUUCUGUUCUGCUGGCUCCUAUGUGAUACCCAAGGGGAUACUUUGAAGUAGAGUGAGAUGGAGGGAAAUUUCUCGGCUAAAAAAAAAAAAAACCACUGUGCAAGAACUCAGCAUUUGAGGAAGCACUUUUUUUUGGUCUUGUUUUGACUGUACAUCUAACGGGGUUUUGUGUAAUACAUGUGAGCGAGUGUUUGACACGAAUAAAAUCAAAAUGCCAGAGCAUUGUUUACCUAGGUUGCCAGUCCAUCUAAGUCAAGACAAGCAGUGAUUGUGCAAUUCAACAGCAAAACAGGCAUUUGCCUCUGAAAUGCUCCUGUGCAGACCCAAUCUGGGUGAUGCCUGACACCAUCAUAUUGCAGGCAGUGUGAAUCAUUCCCUAUGAAAGCUCCUAGACAUUAAUUUCAUUUCUAAAACAAUAAAUCAGCUCAGCUUCACUCACAGAUUUUGUUCUCUAAAAGCACUGCAAAUGUGUCAAAUAAAUCAAGGGGCAUUUCUCCAAGUGUAACUAUUAUUACUGGAGCGUGGGCCAUUCCCCAUGGCGUGUGAAAUGAAGCGAGCAAUAUUAAGCCUGCUCUCAUUCCUGCGCGGCAUGGUGCUUGGCUUUGCUGGCAGGAUGGGGCUUGGCUCCUUUGCGAUGGGGACAGCAUGUAGAGGGGCUGCAGGGAGCUGUUCUGUCACUGUUCCCAUCGAGCUGCAGUCUCUGGGGUGAUGCUGGGGCUGCCUUGGUGCUGGAG